UAGCCGUAAACGAUACUCGCUAGGUGUCGGCCACGGUGCGACCGUUGUCGGUGCCGUAGGGAAGCCGUGAAGCGAGCCACCUGGGAAGUACGGCCGCAAGGCUGAAACUUAAAGGAAUUGGCGGGGGAGUACCACAACGGGUGGAGCCUGCGGUUUAAUUGGACUCAACGCCGGGAAGCUCACCGGAUAAGACAGCGGAAUGAUUGCCGGGCUGAAGACCCUGCAUGACCAGCUGAGAGGAGGUGCAUGGCGUAGUCGUGU
rnacentral:rRNA from 1 species